rnacentral:rRNA from 1 species
UACGAAGGGGGCUAGCGUUGCUCGGAAUCACUGGGCGUAAAGAGCGCGCAGGCGGUCGUUCAAGUCGAGUGUGAAAGCCCCCGGCUCAACUGGGGAGGGUCACUCGAUACUGAUCGACUUGAAGGCAGGAGAGGGAAGCGGAAUUCCCGGUGUAGUGGUGAAAUGCGUAGAUAUCGGGAGGAACACCAGUGGCGAAGGCGGCUUCCUGGCCUGUUCUUGACGCUGAGGCGCGAAAGCUAGGGGAGCAAACGGG